rnacentral:rRNA from 1 species
AUUGAACGCUGGCGGCAGGCCUAACACAUGCAAGUCGAACGAGGGGCGGACGGGUGAGUAAUGUCUGGGAAACUGCCCGAUGGAGGGGGAUAACUACUGGAAACGGUAGCUAAUACCGCAUACCAUCGGAUGUGCCCAGAUGGGAUUAAAUAGUAGGUGGGGUAACGGCUCACAUAGGCGACGAUCCCUAGCUGGUCUGAGAGGAUGACCAGCCACACUGGAACUGAGACACGCUCCAGACUCCUACGGGAGGCAGCAGUGGGGAAUAUUGCACAAUGGGCGCAAGCCUGAUGCAGCCAUUCCGCGUGUAUGAAGAAUGCCUUCGGGUUGUAAAGGACUUUCAGCGAGGAGGCGUUACUCGCAGAAGAAGCACCGGCUAACUCCGUGCCAGCAGCCGCGGUAAUAC